UAGGUUAGUCUUCCCAAUGACUCCAACUGUGUGGAAGAGAUAUUACGGGAGAUGACCCAUUCAUGGCCUCCGCCUCUCACUGCUAUCCACACUCCCGGCAAAGCGGAACAGAACAAAUUUACUAUCCCAAGCAAGGCCCAGGAUUGCCAGCAUCUGACCUCAGGAUACCCUGCACAAA